rnacentral:rRNA from 1 species
CGCGUAGACAACCUGCCCUUAGGUGGGGAAUAACUACGGGAAACCGUAGCUAAUACCGCAUAAUGUCAGAUGGCCGCAUGGCCGACUGAUCAAAGCUUUAUGCGCCUAAGGAUGGGUCUGCGUUGGAUUAGCUAGUUGGUGAGGUAAUAGCUCACCAAGGCAACGAUCCAUAGCGGGUCUGAGAGGAUGAUCCGCCACACUGGCACUGAGACACGGGCCAGACUCCUACGGGAGGCAGCAGUGAGGAAUAUUGCGCAAUGGACGAAAGUCUGACGCAGCCACGCCGCGUGCGGGAAGACA